rnacentral:rRNA from 1 species
GGAAAAGAAACCAACAGGGAUUACCUCAGUAACGGCGAGUGAAGCGGUAAAAGCUCAAAUUUGAAAUCUGGCUCUUUUAGAGUCCGAGUUGUAAUUUGUAGAAGAUGCUUCGGGUGUGGUUCCGGUCUAAGUUCCUUGGAACAGGACGUCAUAGAGGGUGAGAAUCCCGUAUGUGACUGGAUACCUACGCCCAUGUGAAGCUCUUUCGACGAGUCGAGUUGUUUGGGAAUGCAGCUCAAAAUGGGUGGUAUAUUUCAUCUAAAGCUAAAUAUUGGCCAGAGACCGAUAGCGCACAAGUAGAGUGAUCGAAAGAUGAAAAGCACUUUGGAAAGAGAGUUAAACAGUACGUGAAAUUGUUGAAAGGGAAGCGCUUGCAACCAGACUUGCGCUCGUUGCUCAGUAGGGCCUCGUGCCCUAUGUUUAUUCUUCGAGUUCAGGCCAGCAUCAGUUUGGGUGGUUAGAUAAAGGCUUAGAGAAUGUGGCCCUCUUCGGGGGGUGUUAUAGCUCUAGGUGCAAUGUAGCCUACCUGGACUGAGGACCGCGCUUCGGC